CCUACGGGAGGCAGCAGUAGGGAAUAUUGCUCAAUGGGGGAAACCCUGAAGCAGCAACGCCGCGUGGAGGAUGAAGGUUUUAGGAUUGUAAACUCCUUUUGUGAGAGAAGAUAAUGACGGUAUCUCACGAAUAAGCACCGGCUAACUCCGUGCCAGCAGCCGCGGUAAUACGGAGGGUGCAAGCGUUACUCGGAAUCACUGGGCGUAAAGAGUGCGCAGGCGGGCUUGUAAGUCAGAUGUGAAAUCCUGUAGCUUAACUACAGAACUGCAUUUGAAACUGGCAAACUGGAGUGUGUGAGAGGAUAGUGGAAUUCCAGGUGUAGGAGUGAAAUCCGUAGAUAUCUGGAGGAACAUCAGUGGCGAAGGCGACUAUCUGGCACAUAACUGACGCUGAGGAGCGAAAGCGUGGGUAGCAAACAGGAUUAGAUACCCGAGUAGUC
rnacentral:rRNA from 1 species